rnacentral:rRNA from 1 species
UACGUAGGGGGCAAGCGUUGUCCGGAAUUAUUGGGCGUAAAGCGCGCGCAGGCGGCUUUGUAAGUUUGGUGUUUAAUCUCAGAGCUCAACUCUGAUUCGCAUCGAAAACUGCAAGGCUUGAGUACAGAAGAGGAAAGUGGAAUUCCACGUGUAGCGGUGAAAAUGCGUAGAGAUGUGGAGGAACACCAGUGGCGAAGGCGACUUUCUGGGCUGUAAACUGACGCUGAGGCGCGAAAAGCGUGGGGGAGCGAACAGG